GGUUAAGAUACAUCUUCUCACCUACCAUUGCUCGAAAUUUCCCACAAUUGUUGAGUUUGGAUAUAUUUGACUGUGAGGAAUUGGAGCAAAUAAUUGAGAAGGAUCAAAUUCCAUCACAACAUCAUCUCCAACCUAUUUGCUUCGCUAAAUUGAGUUGCAUUAGAAUCUUUAACUGUGAAAACUUGAAAUGUCCCUUCCCGAUUACUCUUGCUCAUGGCGGCCUUCCAAAACUAAGUCAAUUAUACCUUAAAAGGGUCACCAAAUUAGGACAGGUGUUUGAAGGAGAUGAGUCAACUGUGAGUAAGGACGAAGAGAAAGUGAUACACCUACCUCGAUUAACCCACUUAGUGCUUCAUAACCUACCAAAUCUCGUGAGCUUCAGCCCUGUGGGUUAUCAUUUUGUUUUCCCAUCUUUGACGUACUUACAAGUAAAAGGUUAUCCCAACGUAACCACAAGAUUUAGUGUUGAUUCAGAGAAAUCAGUGCAUGCCAAAACACAGGUAAGCCAAUCAGUUGAUGAAAUUAUAGUGGAAGAAUCUGCUACAGCUCAAGAAACUGCAUGGCCAAUUGGUAGUGAUAUAGAAUGGGGGACCGGCCUAAAGGAAGAUGAUAGUGAUUAAUUUUUCAUUUGAAAAUUAAUCAUUGUGAAUGUUUAAAUUGAAUGCAAUUUAUUUGUUAUUAUGUACCACUUACUUUUUCAACUAAUUCUAACAUUACAUAAGGUAAAUUUAAACAUAUGUAAAUAAA